rnacentral:miRNA from 1 species
CGGUUGACGUUCUUUUGCAGUC